CAGUAGCCGCGGUAAUACGAAGGGGGCUAGCGUUGCUCGGAAUGACUGGGCGUAAAGGGCGCGUAGGCGGCAUGUACAGUCAGAAGUGAAAUUCCUGGGCUCAACCUGGGGACUGCUUUUGAUACGUGCAGGCUAGAGUGAGGAAGAGGGUUGUGGAAUUUCCAGUGUAGAGGUGAAAUUCGUAGAUAUUGGAAAGAACACCGGUGGCGAAGGCGGCAACCUGGUCCUUUACUGACGCUGAGGCGCGAAAGCGUGGGGAGCAAACAGGAUUAGAUACCCGCGUAGUCCCUGUCUCUUAUAC
rnacentral:rRNA from 1 species